rnacentral:rRNA from 1 species
AUACGGAGGGUGCAAGCGUUACUCGGAAUCACUGGGCGUAAAGCGCGCGCAGGCGGCUUGAUAAGUUGGAUGUGAAAGCCUACGGCUCAACCGUAGAACUGCAUCCAAAACUGUCAAGCUAGAGUCUGGGAGGGGAAGAUGGAAUUAGUUGUGUAGGGGCAAAAUCCGUAGAGAUAACUAGGAAUACCAAAAGCGAAGGCGAUCUUCUGGAACAGUACUGACGCUGAGGCGCGAAAGCGUGGGGAGCAAACAGGAUUAGAAACCCCAGUAGUCC